rnacentral:sRNA from 1 species
GUUGGGCAUAGUGGUGUAUGCCUGUAAUCCGUAAUCCCAGUCACUUGGGAGGCUGAGGUAGGAGGAGAGCAAGUUCUAUGUGAGCCUCAACAACUUGGCCAGAUCCUGUCUCAA